AUUGAACGCUGGCGGCAUGCCUUACACAUGCAAGUCGAACGGUAACAGGUCUUCGGAUGCUGACGAGUGGCGAACGGGUGAGUAAUACAUCGGAACGUGCCUAGUAGUGGGGGAUAACUACUCGAAAGAGUGGCUAAUACCGCAUGAGAUCUACGGAUGAAAGAAGGGGAUCGCAAGACCUUGUGCUACUAGAGCGGACGAUGGCAGAUUAGGUAGUUGGUGGGAUAAAAGCUUACCAAGCCGACGAUCUGUAGCUGGUCUGAGAGGACGAUCAGCCACACUGGGGCUGAGACACGGCCCAGACUCCUACGGGAGGCAGCAGUGGGGAAUUUUGGACAAUGGGCGAAAGCCUGAUCCAGCAAUGCCGCGUGCAGGAUGAAGGCCUUCGGGUUGUAAACUGCUUUUGUACGGAACGAAAAGCCCCGGGUUAAUACCCUGGGGUCAUGACGGUACCGUAAGAAUAAGCACCGGCUAACUACGUGCCAGCAGCCGCCGUAA
rnacentral:rRNA from 1 species